UCCCCUCCUGCCCACCCCCUUUCUUUUGUCAACUAAUCUAAGGACAUUUGGCCGUUACUCCAGCUUCUCCUUUCUUUGGUCUUUCGACUCCAGCCAGGGUGUGAAUUCCCAGGAGACCUUUCCUACAGAAGCUGCCCAUCAGACCAAUGAAACCACGAGACAAAAAGUUCUAUUCAAGAAGAGAACAACAAGAAAGAAAAAGAGGUCAACAAUCCUAGGACAGAAGAGCUCCUUGGCACUGGAACCCUCCUGGUCUGGUGAGGGAGGGAUGAGGGAUGC